rnacentral:rRNA from 1 species
GUUGAACGCUGGCGGCAGGCCUAACACAUGCAAGUCGAGCGAGUGGCGGACGGGUGAGGAAUGUCUGGGAAACUGCCCGAUGGAGGGGGAUAACUACUUGAAGCAGUCGCUAAUACCGCAUACCAUCAGAUGUGCCCAGAUGGGAUUAGCUUGUAGGUGAGGUAACGGCUUACCUAGGCGACGAUCCCUAGCCGGGCUGAGAGGAUGACCAGCCACACUGGAACUGAGACACGGUCCAGACUCCUACGGGAGGCAGCAGUGGGGAAUCUUGCACAAUGGGCGAAAGCCUGAUGCAGCAAUGCCGCGUGUAUGAAGAAGGCCUUCGGGUUGUAAAGCACUUUCAGCGGGGAGGCGUUACCCGAAGAAGAAGCACCGGCUAACUCCGUGCCAGCAGCCGCGGUAAUUC